CUUCUAACCCUAAUUCUUUCUCGCACUCCCUCUUUCUCUGCUCUCCCUUUCUUCUCCGGCCGCUUUUUCUUCUCGGCCGCCGUCUCUUCUCUGUCCGAUGUCGCCAUUAGUCAUUGAUAAUCGUUUUUAAUCUUAUCUCAAAUCUCACGAUCAACAAUAAUUUCAACAGAAUCUUCUAGGGCUCAGAAACAACGAAAGAUGAAGGUUAAACCAUAAUUAACUUCGAUCAAAUCUUCAGUCAAUUACAGAGUUGAACGAAAUUGACUUGCUAGUUGAUAGGAGGAGCAGAGGUCCGAGCUGGUAUCGUCUUGUCAGUAUGUUCCCGAUGAAGAUAAAGUAGGGAGUGUGGGUUUUUAUUAUUUGGAAAAAGAUGUGACCAUUACACUCUGGAUGUAGUUAGAGGUUCAAAGUUCUGCUCUAAAGGCUUCAAGUGUGCUUACUAAUGCCGACACUUCAUGUUUUGACAUGUAGCAUAAGUUUGAAGAAUCAAAGGGCUAAGGCUAUGCCACCACAGAAAGACACCAUUGAUGAGAAAGAAAAGCCAAUGAGACAUCUGAAAAGCGAAGACAUUGAAGUUGAGGAAUGUAGUUCAAAGAAACGAAUACGUCACUGCAGAAAUACAGUAGAUGAAAAUAUCGCCAUUUUAGGGUUUGAGCCCGAUGCAUAGUUGAGUUGUAUAGCACGAUGACUUAGGAAAAUGAUGGAUUCGAUUGUUAUAAAUUGCUUUUUCGUUGAUUUUCUAGUAAUGAAUACUUUCUUUUAGUUUGCCUUUAA